rnacentral:rRNA from 1 species
GAUGAACGCUGGCGGCGUGCCUAAUACAUGCAAGUCGAGCGAAUGGAUUAAGAGCUUGCCCCUAUGAAGUUAGCGGCGGACGGGUGAGUAACACGUGGGUAACCUGCCCAUAAGACUGGGAUAACUCCGGGAAACCGGGGCUAAUUCCGGAUAACAUUUUGAACCGCAUGGUUCGAAAUUGAAAGGCGGCUUCGGCUGUCACUUAUGGAUGGACCCGCGUCGCAUUAGCUAGUUGGUGAGGUAACGGCUCACCAAGGCAACGAUGCGUAGCCGACCUGAGAGGGUGGUCGGCCACACUGGGACUGAGACACGGCCCAGACUCCUACGGGAGGUAGCAGUAGGGAAUCUUCCGCAAUGGACGAAAGUCUGACGGAGCAACGCCGCGUGAGUGAUGAAGGCUUUCGGGUCGUAAAACUCUGUUGUUAGGGAAGAACAAGUGCUAGUUGAAUAAGCUGGCACCUUGACGGUACCUAACCAGAAAGCCACGGCUAACUACGUGCCAGCAGCCGCCGUAA